UACAGAGGGUGCAAGCGUUGUUCGGAAUUACUGGGCGUAAAGCGCGUGUAGGCGGCGGCGUAAGUCGAAUGUGAAAUCCCUUGGCUUAACCAAGGAAGUGCAUCCGAUACUGCGUCGCUUGAGUGCCGGAGGGGAUGGCGGAAUUCCUGGUGUAGAGGUGAAAUUCGUAGAUAUCAGGAGGAACACCUGUGGCGAAGGCGGCCAUCUCGGACGGUAACUGACGCUGAGACGCGAAAGCGUGGGUAGCGAACAAGG
rnacentral:rRNA from 1 species